rnacentral:rRNA from 1 species
ACUGCUCAGUAACACGUGGACAACCUGCCCUUAGGUUGGGUAUAAACCCGGGAAACUGGGUAUAAUACCCGAUAGGUCUCGAUUGCUGGAAUGCAUCGAGAUUUAAAGCUCCGGCGCCUAAGGAUGGGUCUGCGGCCUAUCAGGUAGUAGUGGGUGUAGCGUACCUACUAGCCUACGACGGGUACGGGUUGUGAGAGCAAGAGCCCGGAGAUGGAUUCUGAGACACGAAUCCAGGCCCUACGGGGUGCAGCAGGCGCGAAAACUUUACAAUGCUGGCAACAGCGAUAAGGGAACCUCGAGUGCCAGGUUACAAAUCUGGCUGUCGAGAUGCCUAAAAAGCAUUUCAUAGCAAGGGCCGGGCAAGACCGGUGCCAGCCGCCGCGGUAACACCGGCGGCUCGAGUGGUAACCGUUAUUAUUGGGUCUAAAGGGUCUGUAGCCGGCCGGAUAAGUCUCUUGAGAAAUCUGGCAGCUUAACUGUCAGGCUUCAGGAGAUACUGUCUGGCUCGAGGCCGGGAGAGGUGAGAGGUACUUCAGGGGUAGGGGUGAAAUCUUGUAAUCCUUGAAGGACCACCAGUGGCGAAGGCGUCUCACCAGAACGGACCUGACGGCAAGGGACGAAAGCUAGGGGCACGAACCGGAUUAGAUACCCGGGUAGUCCUAGCCGUAAACGAUACUCGCUAGGUGUCGGCCACGGUGCGACCGUUGUCGGUGCCGUAGGGAAGCCGUGAAGCGAGCCACCUGGGAAGUACGGCCGCAAGGCUGAAACUUAAAGGAAUUGGCGGGGGAGCAC